ensembl:ncRNA lncRNA:CR44307 long non-coding RNA:CR44307
UUCCAUAUACUUUAGCAAGAAACACACACGAUUUGGAAAACUCGACGAAACUAGAGACAAUUUGCAAUGAGACGGCGAAUGAAAAACAAAAACCGAAAUCGCACAAAAAAUCCAAAACAAAUUGCGUGAUAUGUGUGUGCGCGGCAAAUAGAACAAAACGACAAACUAGUAAAAACAUUUCCAAUGGAAUACGGCAAAAGCGAACUUUAAAAACCGCUUGAAAUGGACAGAGCUAGCCAUUUUUGUGAUUGGCUUAGACGGUGGACAGUGGACCACAGUCGGACUAAUAAAAUUGUUGAC